UACGUAGGGGGCGAGCGUUAUCCGGAAUUACUGGGCGUAAAGCGCACGCAGCGGUUCGCCAAGUUUGGAGUGACAGUUGUCGGCUCAACCGACAAAGGACUUCAAAAACUGGUGAACUUGAGGACGAGAGAGGAACAUGGAACUCCAGGUGUAGUAGUGAAAUGCGCAGAUAUCGGGAAGAACACCCGUGGCGAAGGCGGCUCUCUGGGACGGUACUGACGCGUGAGACGCGAAAGCGUGGGGAGCGAACGAGG
rnacentral:rRNA from 1 species